AAUAAAUAAUAAUGUUAAUAUAUGUUAUAUUAUAACAUAAUUAGAAAGCCAAAGUUUUACUCUUAUUUCUCAUGACCGAAUAACGUAAAGAAAGAAAAGAAAAGAAAGCUAGGGCAUUCGGCCAUUGUUGGGUUUGAUUAAGAUUUUGGAGUCAAGUUACGAGCUCAGGGAUCGUCAGCAAAGUCUAUCACACUAUCGACUGUCUUCGGUAUCUUUAUAAGUGAACUUUUGAAUCUAUGGCAUGUAUAGGCUGGAUUAUGUUUUGAAAUGUUGGAUUUUGGUUAUGUGUAAUCAAAGCCAUGCGAAAAUGGCUUAACUUUUUUGUUUGAAUUUGGUUAUGUUGAUUAUGGUUUAUGUUCAUUUUGAUUAUAAUGUUAUAUGCUAUGAAUGCAUAGUAAUUGUGGUAGGUAUUAUAUGCUUUGAUAAUGGUUGAUGAUUUUGGAUGUACAUGUGGUUGGUUCAGCUAAGGUUAUGCAUGGAUGGAAGUAUAUGUGAAUUUGGUUAUCAUAUUGACUUAUUUAGGAUGUGUAAUUUUUCUUGUGAAUUGGUUUGGAGAUAGCAAAAGAUGUGCCUUUAUAAUCGGCUAGUGAUGGGUAAAAUAUAUCCAUAUGCUUAUGACAUGUUGUUUGUGGUUUGGUAUUUAAAGGUCAAGUUGCUAGUGAAAUGAUUGAUUAUUAUAUGUACUAUAUAUAUACGUGGUAGCAAUUCGGCCUUGGUAUGUGGUUCAUUUAAUAAGCAUGUGACUUGAUAAUGGUGUGACCGAUUAAGGUUAUAAUUGUAACAGCCCAUUUUUAGGGUUAAUUGGAACAGUGGUUUCGGGGCCACCAAAUCCGACGAGUAGGUUUGUAAAUAUUAUAUUUAAUAUUUACGAGUUAAUUGUGAUUUUAAAAAUGUUUUUGAUAUUGUGAUAUUUGUUUUAUAAGUGAUUUAUUCAGUUCAAGUGGUAUGACCCUAAGGUCAAGUGGGUUUAGGAAAUGAUGUAUCGGGACCUCAUUUAUAUAAACCGAGUCGUAAAUAUUUUUAUAAAUAUUUACGGAGUGGCAAAAAGAUGGUAUUAAAGUUUCGUUGAAAAAUUUUAUCGUUUCGAUAGUUAAUUAAGCAAAAAGGACUAAAUCGCGUAAAAUGAAAAAGUUACAUUCUAAUUGUUUAAGUGUUUAUUUUCCAUGUUUUACUAAAGUAUAAGUCCCUAUUUAUCAAUUAAACCAUUACUUUAUGAUAGUGGAGAUUGGUGGUUUGGCAUAUAUGAAAUUAUGUAUUAUUAUAAAGGACAAAAAGGUAAAUGGAAUAUUAAAAUGUAUUAAAUAAAAAUAAAACAUAAAAUGGCCAUGCAAAUUUUAUCUCUUGGCCGAAUAUGGAGGAGAAAAGAAAGCCAUUGAAGCUUCCUUAGUUUUGGCAUUUGCAUGAAGUGAUUUAGGGUUGCCAUGUUAGCUCGGGUUGGAGGCCGUCAGAGAUAUUAUCACAUUGUCAAGUCUACGCUAUCGGCGUAAGUAAAUCUUAGUGUUUCGAGUCUAUGGCAUGUAUAGGGUUGUAAAGUUGAGUAAGUAAAUGAUACAAGACUAAGAUAUUGGUAAAUAUUUAAUAAUGCCUCAUGAAUAUUUUGGGCCUUGUAAGCCCGAUUAAAGGAUAAUAUACGUGUGUAUGAAAAGUUUAAAAUUGAUCAAAAA